GCCUUUUCUUCUUUUGGCAUCACCGGACCGAGGUAACAAGACUACUCCUACUCUUCUUUUCUUCGGCCUUGCAAUCUAUUGUCGUGUGGAUUUGGACCGGCAAGCCAGUUUGGGCGUGAAUCAGGCUCCUUUGUUUCGAAGCCUUUUCCUCUAGUUUGCCAUCGAUCGCCAUCAGCGAUGGUCAUGGAUGGGGUCAUAGCCUCACCAUUUGC
rnacentral:lncRNA from 1 species